rnacentral:rRNA from 1 species
GGAGUCUGGUCCGUGUCUCAGUACCAGUGUGGGGGACCUUCCUCUCAGAACCCCUACUGAUCGUAGGCCAGGUGGGCCGUUACCCCGCCUGCAACCUAAUCAGACGCAUCCCCAUCCAUGACCGAUGAAUCUUUACUGCAAUUCUGAUGCCAUCGUCGCAGAACAUCAGGUAUUAGGCUCCCUUUCGGAAGGUUAUCCCUGAGUCAUGGGCAGGUUGGAUACGCGUUACUCACCCGUGCGCCGGUCGUCAUCAGCAGGAGCAAGCUCCCGCCAUGUUACCCCUCGACUUGCAUGUGUUAAGCCUGUAGCUAGCGUUCAUC